UGAUACAACCAUUGAUGCAGUGUGCG
rnacentral:sRNA from 1 species